AAGCAAGCCUUCCAGCAUGGCCGGGUCUGGUGUGACCCCGCUCAUUCCUGCAGUGCUUGCAAAAGCAGCCUUGAGAUGGUUUGAGGCCUUGCUCCGUGCUGCUUUUGCUUUUGGAGCAAGGUUAUAGAAAUUUCAGACAUGC
rnacentral:snoRNA from 1 species